rnacentral:rRNA from 1 species
CCUUUGAGACCGGGAUAGCCCUGAGAAAUCAGGAUUAAUACCGGAUGUGGUCACGACAAGGCAUCUUGAUGUGAACAAAGGCGCAAGCCGCUCAUUGACGGGCUCGCGGCUUAUUAGCUUGUUGGUGGGGUGAUGGCCUACCAAGGCGAUGAUGAGUAGCUGGUCUGAGAGGACGAUCAGCCACACUGGGACUGAGACACGGCCCAG